rnacentral:lncRNA from 1 species
UGUGAAUCUAGUUGAUUCACAGAUCUGGUGAUUCUAGGUGUUUGUCUGUUAAAGUUCAUCAAGCAGAUGAUCCUGUGAGAGUUGUGAGAAUUUGUUCAGUUAUUUCAGUUUAUCUAUCUGUUCGUUGUAUCAGUUGAAAUACUUUUCUAGGGAGUUGCUUCGCUUUGAUAUCAUCUUCUUGACAUGGUAUCAGAGCCAUGGCUCUGGUGGAUUGUUAUUCAUCCUCUUGUUCUUCCGCUGACGUUUUGAGGUGUAUUAGGGUUUUUUGGUUUUCAAAUAUAAAAAACCUGGUUGCAUCAUUCUUUUAGACGACUGAGUUGUAAAGAUGACUCUCUUUUCGUUCAUGGCGUUUGCCAGAAGCCUGGACGUCUCACAAGGGGACGAGUCUCUGUGGGAUUACAUGGUUCUGGCGAUUUUGCCCUAAUUUCCGUCAAACCAUUGCGAUCAAUCGAAUCAAAAUCACAAAAAAGUCUCCAAUCGAUGACCUACAUAAAGCUGAUUCACAAGAUCAACUGCUGAAAUCCGAUAUUUGUUUCAUGUUUUCAACGAUUUCUGCUUCAUAUUUCCAGAUUCUACACUAUUCGAACCCAAAUCGAACAAUCGGAACAUAGAUCUGUGAAGUUGGAACCGAAUCUCUCACGGUUUUUCAAGAUUCAAGCGUCGGAAGAGGUUUUUGCAGCAAGCAGGAGAGUUAGGGCGUGCUAAUUUCUUCGGUUUUUGUUGUUAUUGAAAGUUAAAAGUUCGUGUAGCGUGUUAUUCAAAGAAUCUACGCAGAUCGAUCGAUAUUUUGAACGGAUGGUUGUCGUUUAGGGCUUGUUCGAGUUGAAACGCUUGUGAUCUGGAUAGCAGUUUAUAUUGGGGCUUGGGGCUCUCGUAUUUCUUAGUGAAUGAUACGGCUGACUGUAUGUGCUAUUGUCUUCUUUACACAGUAAAAUCAAAGUGAAGCCGACCGAUUUGCCAUUUAAGAUUUAUCACAUCUGGAAAGUCUCAUAUUCCUAAAGUGAAGUGUCUGGUCCAUUGAAUAUCACAACUGGAAGUUUUUUUACGCUUUACAAAGAUAGCAAAGUGUUUCUGCCGUCUUGGCUUGCAUCUUGUAAGAGUGCUGGUCACCCUAAAUGAAGGUGUAUCGGGUUAGCUUGACAUUAAAGCACUGGUUGGGGGGAGGGGUCAUUCAUGUUACAGGCACCUGAUAUGGGAUGACAGAUACAUUGAAGAUCAAAUUGUGUCAAGAUUAGGAUGGACACAAAGACAUAAUGAAACUGGUGUAAUAAAUGGAUGUCAAACACUGGUUCUAUAAAAGGAUGUCAAAACACUUGAUAAAGGAUAAGGAUGGUCACAUUCAAAUUGGUGCAGCUCACAAGCAAUGAGAAAGGGUUGUUGUGUGGGUUUUGUGGAAAAACAGGAACAAUGUUGUGUUUAAUGACAAGCAGUCGGAUUUUUCAAGGUUAAAGAAAUAUGUAAAAAUUUAGGGUAUCUUUGUGUUAAGCAUAGGUUGAAACGGGUGACUUAAGCUGAGAUGACUGGUGCAGUUUCGAUUUAGCCCGCUUGCGGGUUUGAUGUAAUGUUGUUUUUGGUGUAAUAUUGUGCGGUUUUUUUGGUGUACUUUGUAUGAAUGUUGGGUUAACUGUUGUUUCCCAGUUUUGAUGACUAAUAGAUUUGUUG